AGAAGCCGGAUGAAGGGAUACUUUCACGUCCGGUUUGACGGGAACGGGAGGGGGAAGAUCCCUCCCGCCACUCUAC
rnacentral:ncRNA from 1 species